rnacentral:rRNA from 1 species
UACGUAGGGUGCGAGCGUUGUCCGGAUUUACUGGGCGUAAAGAGCGCGCAGGCGGUCGAUCAAGUCGAGUGUGAAAGCCCCCGGCUCAACUGGGGAGGGUCACGCGAUACUGAUCGACUCGAAGGCAGGAGAGGGUAGUGGAAUUCCCGGUGUAGUGGUGAAAUGCGUAGAUAUCGGGAGGAACACCAGUGGCGAAGGCGACUACCUGGCCUGUUCUUGACGCUGAGGCGCGAAAGCUAGGGGAGCAAACGGG